UAGUGGGAAGCGACCAGCCGGGCUGGAAACCCACACUUCCCAGUCCAAGCCCAGCACCCAGGAGCCGGGACCACAAGGGGCCCCACUCAGUAAAAUGAGGCUGGAUGAAGUGACUGCUGGCUGGAACACACCAACUCCAGGCCGAAGGAGGGAAGAUUGGUGGCGCAGCUCCUGGAACUGUCCCUGGGGGUACGGAGUGAGGAUCCCCACUUCUGUGAGCCCCAUGUCCCAGGCACGUGAGCAGGAAGUGGGUCGGAAGCAGAGAAGCUGGGACUUGAAGUGGCAUUCUGGCAUGGAACGCCAGCAUCCCAGGCAGCAGCUCACCCCGCUGCACCGCAUGGCCCGUCCUGCACGGUUAUUAUCUGGCUGGUAAUCGGCAGACCUUGAACCUGAACCCAGGCAGUGUGGCUCCACCACCCGCAAGCCUCGAGUCACCUCCUUGCCCCAAGGUCUAUAAAUAGCUAAUUGCAGCCCUGGCUGGAGAUGCCGUCCUGGGAGGGCCUCGCUGAGCUGCUGGCCCCUUUAAUUCAUUCAGUCCAAGAACCUUUAGACUGAGAAGCAAACACAGAGCUUCGCCCGUGCUCUCGGGGAAGCUUCUGAUAGAGACAUGUUAUUCAAACUGCCGUACUCAAAAUAGCUCCAGUGAACAGAUUCUCGCUGUGAACAUCGUAACCACAGGGAUUCCUGGUAAAGGCGGAGAGCGGCUGCUUCCAGGGGGGAGCGACGCUGGCGCUGGGACAGAAAACACGAGCGGCAGUUGAUCAUAUGAAGAGGAGAGGGAGAGGACUCUGGGCAGACGGAACAGCACGUGCAGAGUUCUGAGGUAGGGAGAGUGCUGAGCGCCAGGACUCUGGCCAGCUGACCUUGGCCGGCCCUCUAGGGCAUGGAGCCCACCUGUUAGGAUCCCACCACUCCUGUGUGGGGCCCUAU